rnacentral:rRNA from 1 species
GGAAAAGAAACCAACAGGGAUUGCCCUAGUAACGGCGAGUGAAGCGGCAACAGCUCAAAUUUGAAAUCUGGCUCUCGGGCCCGAGUUGUAAUUUGUAGAGGAUACUUUUGAUGCGGUGCCUUCCGAGUUCCCUGGAACGGGACGCCAUAGAGGGUGAGAGCCCCGUCUGGUUGGAUGCCAAAUCUCUGUAAAGUUCCUUCGACGAGUCGAGUAGUUUGGGAAUGCUGCUCUAAAUGGGAGGUAUAUGUCUUCUAAAGCUAAAUACCGGCCAGAGACCGAUAGCGCACAAGUAGAGUGAUCGAAAGAUGAAAAGCACUUUGAAAAGAGAGUUAAAAAGUACGUGAAAUUGUUGAAAGGGAAGCGUUUAUGACCAGACUUGGGCUUGGUUGAUCAUCUGGGGUUCUCCCCAGUGCACUCUUCCAGUCCAGGCCAGCAUCAGUUUUCGCCGGGGGAUAAAGACUUCGGGAAUGUGGCUCUCUUCGGGGAGUGUUAUAGCCCGUUGUGUAAUACCCUGGCGGGGACUGAGGUUCGCGCAUCUGCAAGGAUGCUGGCGUAAUGGUCAUCAACGACCC